CUCAGUGGUUUAGAUGGUAUAAUGAUUCACACAGUGGUUUAGAUGGUAUAAUGAUUCUCUGUGGUUUAGAUGGUAUAAUGAUUCUCUGUGUGGUUUAGAUGGUAUAAUGAUUAUCUGUGGUUUAGAUGGUAUAAUGAUUCACACAGUGGUUUAGAUGGUAUAAUGAUUGACAGUGGUUUAGAUGGUUUAAUGAUUCACAGUGGUUUAGAUGGUUUAAUGAUUCACACAGUGGUUUAGAUGGUAUAAUGAUUCACACAGUGGUUUAGAUGGUAUAAUGAUUCACACAGUGGUUUAGAUGGUAUAAUGAUUCACACAGUGGUUUAGAUGGUAUAAUGAUUCAUACAGUGGUUUAGAUGGUAUAAUGAUUCACACAGUGGUUUAGAUGGUAUAAUGAUUCACACAGUGGUUUAGAUGGUAUAAUGAUUCACAGUGUGGUUUAGAUGGUUUAAUGAUUCACAGUGGUUUAGAUGGUUUAAUGAUUCACACAGUGGUUUAGAUGGUAAAUUGAUUCACACAGUGGUUUAGAU
rnacentral:lncRNA from 1 species